rnacentral:rRNA from 1 species
UGGGGAAUAUUGCACAAUGGGCGCAAGCCUGAUGCAGCCAUGCCGCGUGUGUGAAGAAGGCCUUCGGGUUGUAAAGCACUUUCAGCGGGGAGGAAGGCGGUGAGGUUAAUAACCUCAUCGAUUGACGUUACCCGCAGAAGAAGCACCGGCUAACUCCGUGCCAGCAGCCGCGGUAAUACGGAGGGUGCAAGCGUUAAUCGGAAUUACUGGGCGUAAAGCGCACGCAGGCGGUCUGUCAAGUCGGAUGUGAAAUCCCCGGGCUCAACCUGGGAACUGCAUUCGAAACUGGCAGGCUAGAGUCUUGUAGAGGGGAGUAGAAUUCCAGGUGUAGCGGUGAAAUGCGUAGAGAUCUGGAGGAAUACCGGUGGCGAAGGCGGCCCCCUGGACAAAGACUGACGCUCAGGUGCGAAAGCGUGGGGAGCAAACAGG